GACAGAGGUGCCGAGCGUUAGGCGGAAUCACUGGGCUUAAAGCGUGUGUAGGCGGACCGUUAAGUACCUUGUGAAAUCCUGCGGCUCAACCGCAGAACGGCUGAGUAUACUGGCGGUCUUGGGCCACCUAGGGGCAGAUGGAACAGACGGUGGAGCGGUGAAAUGCGUAGAUAUCGUCUGGAACGCCGAUGGUGAAAACAGUCUGCUGGGGGUGUGCCGACGCUGAGACACGAAGCCAGGGAGCAAAGCGGG
rnacentral:rRNA from 1 species